rnacentral:rRNA from 1 species
UACGGAGGGUGCAAGCGUUGUCCGGAUUUAUUGGGCUUAAAGGGUGCGUAGGCGGCCCGUUAAGUCAGUGGUGAAAGCCUCCAGCUCAACUGGAGAACUGCCAUUGAUACUGGCGGGCUUGAGUACAGACGAGGUUGGCGGAAUUGAUUGUGUAGCGGUGAAAUGCAUAGAUACAAUCAAGAACUCCGAUUGCGUAGGCAGCUAACUAGGCUGCAACUGACGCUGAGGCACGAAAGCGUGGGGAGCGAACAGG